UCGGGACUGUAAUGGUAAGAGCUGCAGGAGUGCCAGGUGUGUGUUCCAGUCCCCAGCAUUUGGUUUGCACAUGUCCUGGUCAGACACAGGUCCAACUUCCUCAGUCCUUAACCCAGUAGAGGGAGAAUGAAGGACUGGCACUGUUAAGGUGAUUGGUGUGACAGGGGUGAAACUGGGAAAACAUUGGGGAAUUCCUGAGUUUCUCUCUUUGCCAAACUCACCCAAACCUCUGCUAGGAAGAGAUGGACUGGAAAAGUUGAGGCAGAAAUGAAAUGGAAAACUGGGGUUGUUGAAACUGUAAUUGCUGGAACUAAAUGUGUCCAAGCAGCAGCUCUUGUUGUGCAGGGAAUAACUCCUGUCAGCAGCAAGGUCCUGACUGAAGUGGCAGCUGCAGUUGUUCCUGUGGUGUGGGCCAGUGGAAUUGCAGGAGAGUGGAAGAGGGCAGAACCUGUAGGUAUUACCCCUACUGUGGGAUCUCUCCUGGUAAGGCAAACCCAGUAUCCUUUAAAAUCAGAAUGCGAGACUGGAUUGGUUGCAGUAACAGCUGAAUUUGCUCAUCCUGGUUUGCUUGUAGGACGUGAAUGCAAGAACCUGCCAAGAAACCAAUGACCAAGAUGAUUGAUGAGUGCAGGAUCUGAGAGAAGCACCUUGAAUGACAACCUCGAGCAGUUUCCACUAUUGGAUUGCAAAGAUGGCCUUUGCUGCAUCUACUUGAGCAAGGAAAGCCAAGAAACCUUUGCUUUUGAAGGAGAAAACCUGGAAAGCAGGAAGGAAGAAAAGAAACCCCCUGACUCCUCCCUCAGCCCCAGACAGCCCAUGAACUGCCUUCCUGGGAAUGGUAGGACGGGGUGGACUCUGGAUUGCUCCCUCUGGAUGUGUGGAACUCCAGGAACUCCUGGUGCCGCCUGGGCCGAUGGAUUGGACGCCCCAGCCCCUCCGUUCCUGCCCAGCCACUGGGUCCGUGUCCAGUGGUGGCACUGCCAGCCCUGCAGUGGGAUGUAGCCUGGAAAGUGCACAGAGCUGAGCCAAGGGAUUGAAAGGGACCAAGCAAGGGAGGUGAAGAAAGAAGGAAGAAGGAAGUGAGGCAGCAGGCAAGCAGCAGCAAGUUGCUGUGUAAGCAGUGGGAUGUACCCUAGAAACUCCAUGGAGCUGAGCCAAGGGAUUUAGAGGGACUAAGCAAGCGAAGUAAAGAAAGAAUGAAGAAGGGAACUGAGAGAGCAGCCAAGCAGCACCAAGUUCCUCUACAACCAGGAGAAAAUGGGGAAAGCAGAAAGGAAGAAAAGCAGCCCCCUGACUCCUCCCUGAGCCCCAGACAGCCCAUGAACUGCCUUGCUGGGAAUGGUAGGACGGGGUGGACUCUGGAUUGCUCCCUCUGGAUGUGUGGUAAGACUGUUCUGCCAACUUUUCCAACAGCCUGUAAGCAUUUGCUGCCUUGGCUAGAUGGUGCAAGGGCAGCCUUUAAGCAGCUGAAGCAUUCCCUGAGGAGAGCUCUGGGUCUGCCAUAUGUCUCAGAACUGUUGGAAGCAUCUUUGGUGGGGAGGGCAAACAAAGGCCAAGGUGUGCAGUGACCCCCCUGAGAAGGGACUUUGAGUUAAUGGCAUCCCUGCAAGUGAACUUUGUGGGCUGUUCCCUCUGUAGGGCAGGUGACAGUCCCAGCUACAGUGAUGGGGAAAAAUGGUUAAAAGGGAGCCCCAAAAGCUGGAAAUUGCCCUGGAGGCUCUUGGCCAACAGAGUUUCCUGAGUUCGCCCUGCAAGAAGGACAGUGAUAGCUUUUGAGUGCUGGUAGAUCCUUUGAAUAGAUAGCCUUGAGUGUGUCCUUGUUGCCCCAGUAGGCCUUGUCAAAGUCCCCAUAUUGCAGGGGAUAUACAUGUU